GUAUGUGGAUGCACUUAGAGUUUUGAUCUCUAUAGGGUAGGUUCAAGUCCUAUUUUUUUAGGAG
rnacentral:tRNA from 1 species